ACGGAGGGUGCAAGCGUUGUCCGGAUUUAUUGGGUUUAAAGGGUGCGUAGGCGGCUAAUUAAGUCAGUGGUGAAAGCCCGCAGCUCAACUGUGGAAUUGCCAUUGAUACUGGUUAGCUUGAGUUCGGUUGAGGUAAGCGGAAUGGAUAGUGUAGCGGUGAAAUGCAUAGAUAUUAUCCAGAACACCGAUAGCGAAGGCAGCUUACUGGACCGAUACUGACGCUGAGGCACGAAAGCAUGGGGAGCGAACAGG
rnacentral:rRNA from 1 species